CCAAAAAAAGACCAGCAGAUGGGCCAGCAGACCCUGUCAGUCCACAUCCAUGCUCAGGUCAGCCCAGGAAGCGCAAGCACUGUGCUGGGAGAGAGCACCGCCAUGGCAGCCAGGCUGAGAAUCCUGCCAAUGAAAUGCAGGUGGAAUUCAGACCCAAGGCCAAAAAGAGCUGCAAAGCCUUGCCCAUCUUCCCUGUGUCUCUGCCCUCGGAAGGCCUUCAAUCCUCCAGUGCAAAUGACAACAUGCAGGCUCAGCCCAGCUACGCUCCUGCCCCAGGUUCUGCUGAUGAACAGCAGAAGAACAGAGAGAGCUGCAAGACGGCUGUGCUGAGCUCAGGCAAAGAAGGGAUGUUCUACUCUGACCACCCUCUGCAGAAAAGUGCUGUGAGCGAGAAACCAUCAGGGAAGCGUCAGAAGAAAUCCAAACAUCUGGAAGUGCAGCAGAGCAGAAAGAGGUCGUUCCUGAAAAUGGACGACCCCUUUGACACUGCAACUAUAUGCGAUGUGGUCACCGUACCCACGAAGGUUGUGAAGCUCUCAGAGCCCACCUUGCACAGCAGCUCCUCGCCGGCCACAUGAGGAGCUUCCCUUCAACACCCACCCGUGCCCCAAC
ensembl:lncRNA